CCACAGGCUAGAGCAUGCGCAGUGGGAGCGAUCCUGAGAAGUAGCUCUUUUCCUCGGCUCCACAAAAGCAUGUUAGAAAAGGAUUUGCAGAUCAGAAACUCAAACCAAAUAUGAUACGCCAAGAUCUAAGUGAGCCACUUUAUUCAUUGGGUACUGGAUAAUAUUGGCCUUUGAAUGUAAACCAGAUCUGGACACAGUACUUCAGAAGAGGCCUCACCGACGUCCUGUACGACCUCAACAUGACGUCCCAACUUCUGUACACAACGGUCUGAGCAAUGAAGGAAUUCAAAAGGGAGAAUUUACAGACAGGCAGCUCAAGUCCAACAUUGGAUGAAGAGCUGCCGGUAAAACUCAAUUCUCAGGAGCUUUGAACGUGGAAGGAAACAGCAUCAUUCACAGUGAAGAGAAACCCUACAAGUGGACUGUGUGGGGAAAAACCUUCAUUCAAUCUUCUGGACUUUCGAGAUGUAAAUGCAGUCAAAACAGGGUGACAACGAUGACAUCAAGCUUUCUUUUGUAACAUCAUAGUCAUGGAUCUCAGUUUGAGUUAAGCAAGGGCCAUUCAGCUCCUGAUCUCUUUACAUUCUUGCUGCAAACACGGACCAAAUAGCUGAAUUCCAAAUAUGGGAAUGACUAUCUGCUAUCUUAAGGCUCCAUUUGACAGAGCAUUGUAUCAAGGAAUCAUAGCAAAACUAGGAUCAACAGGAAUCCGAGAAUAUUGUUCUCCCUUUGAAGGCAGGUAUUUGAAAAGAUUGCAUCUUCAGACCUGAGUAGAUAAAAACAAGGUGAAUUUAUUCAAACUUGUACCACGUACGUGCAGAAGAGAUCUCUAAGUCGAGUUUUAAGACAAUCCACCAUUUACAGCUUAAAACAGAACAUUAAGACAUUUUCACGUCAGACUGGUUGCAUGUAACAUUGGCAUAAAAUAAAUUUGUAUGUCAGUUAUUUACUGCAUGAACAGGAUGCUGUUCAGUUUCUUACAAAGUUCUGAGUCCUCUAAUUUCAGCAGUGCUUCCACUUCUACAUUAUCUUCAAAGCUUCUCUAUCCCCACCAUCUGCCCACAGCGU